rnacentral:tRNA from 1 species
GGUCUGGUGGUCUAGUGGUAUGAUUCUCGCUUAGGGACUUACCCUAUAGCACGCUUGCGAGAGGUCCCGGGUUCAAUCCCCGGCCAGACCC